AAUUCCAGCUCCAAUAGUGUAUAUUAGAGUUGUUGCAGUUAAAAAGCUCGUAGUUGGAUUUCUGCUGUGGUCAUCCGGUACCGCCCGUACGGGUGCGCACCUGGUUUGGCUGCGGCUUUCUUCCUGUAGCCUUCCGCGCUUAAUUGCGUGUGUUGUGUUGCGGAACUUUUACUUUGAGAAAAAUAGAGUGUUUCAAGCAGGCUUGUCGCCCUGAAUACUUCAGCAUGGAAUAAUAGGAUAGGACCUUGGUUCUAUUUUGUUGGUUUCUAGGACCAAGGUAAUGAUUAAUAGGGACAGUUGGGGGCAUUCGUAUUUAACUGUCAGAGGUGAAAUUCUUAGAUUUGUUAAAGACGAACUACUGCGAAAGCAUUUGCCAAGGAUGUUUUCAUUAAUCAAGAACGACAGUAGGGGGUUUGAAGACGAUUAGAUACCGUCGUAAUCUCUACCAUAAACUAUGCCGACUAGAGAUAGGGAAAUGCCUACCUUGGCUUCUCCUG
rnacentral:rRNA from 1 species